GCCCGGGUGGUCUAGUGGUAUGAUUCGCGCUUAGGGUCAACCCUUUGCUUAGCUAUAUUGCGCGAGGUCCCGCGUUCGAUCCGCGGCUCGGGCC
rnacentral:tRNA from 1 species